CUCUGGCGCAAUGCAUAGCGCGUUGAACUUCUAAUCCAGGGGUCGUGGUUUCGAAUCCCACCUGGUUGG